UACGGGGGGGGCAAGCGUUGUUCGGAAUUACUGGGCGUAAAGGGUUCGUAGGUGGCCAACUAAGUCAGACGUGAAAUCCCUCAGCUUAACUGGGGAACUGCGUCUGAGACUGGAUGGCUUGAGUGCAGGAGAGGAACGCGGAAUUCCAGGUGUAGCGGUGAAAUGCGUAGAUAUCCGGAGGAACACCAGUGGCGAAAGCGGCCACCUGGACUGCACCUGACGCUGACACGCGAAAGCUAGGGGAGCGAACGGG
rnacentral:rRNA from 1 species